rnacentral:rRNA from 1 species
UACGUAGGGUGCAGGCGUUAAUCGGAAUUACUGGGCGUAAAGAGCUCGUAGGCGGCUUAGUAAGUCGGGUGUGAAAACCCCAGGCUCAACCUGGGGACGCCACCCGAUACUGCUAUAGCUAGAGUCCAGUAGGGGAGUGUGGAAUUCCCAGUGUAGCGGUGAAAUGCGCAGAUAUUGGGAGGAACACCAGCGGCGAAGGCGGCACUCUGGGCUGGUACUGACGCUGAGGAGCGAAAGCGUGGGUAGCGAACAGG